UUAAAUUGAAGAGUUUGAUCAUGGCUCAGAUUGAACGCUGGCGGCAGGCCUAACACAUGCAAGUCGAACGGUAACAGGAAGCAGCUUGCUGUUUUGCUGACGAGUGGCGGACGGGUGAGUAAUGUCUGGGAAACUGCCUGAUGGAGGGGGAUAACUACUGGAAACGGUA
rnacentral:rRNA from 1 species